UUAAUCAUGAUUUGUCGUAAUCAUGGCUUAAUCAGACCUUUGAAUAUCAGUUACUUAUUUAAUCAUGUUAGAGACGCUAACACGUCUCGUUAAAUCUAAUCAAAAAAAUGACACUAUAAAAACUAUAAAUUUACAAAAAAGCCAAAAAAACGACGCCAAUGAAUUGACAUAAUUUGAUGGAAUUUUUCGAUCGAUACAUCGGUACCAAUAACUAAUCCUAAAAUCCCUAAGAUAUACAGUAUUGCCAACUAUUUCAAUGAUUUUGGAUCGCUCUGUAUAUUUAAAGUAGAUAUUUAUUCAAAUAUGAGGCAGAAAAUUGUGUUAAUAAAGUACUUCAACAUAGUUUCUUUUUUUACUGUAUUUAUUUAUGUCACGUUGAAGUUUUGAAAUGAAACAUUUUGAAAAUAAUUUAAACAAUCAUUCUGCAAAUCUAUUAGGUCUGAAUUCUACAGGCAGUUCUAAUGAAACAUGGGAAGGAAAUUCCAUAACAUCAAUUCGAAUAAUUUGUGUUAUAUUAUUGAGGGUAGGGUUCAUACUCGUACAAGUAGGAAGUAUUCCAGUGGAGAAUGUUUACAUCAUUAUAUUCAGAAAUGUAAUUGAAAUAGCCGUUGCUAUUUUUUCUUAUGGGUUCUUGGGGUACUACCUUUCUUUUGGCAGAAAAACUAUUCAUGGAAUUGUAAAUUAUGAUGGAUUCAUUGGUUUCGAAAACGCUAAUCUCAAUCUCGCAUCGAUAGGGUUUUCAGCUUGUAUUAUUGGAACUGCUUUAACUUCAAGUAUGCUAAUAGCCAGAGUAAGACAACUACCCUUGUUAACACUCACCAUAACUUUGAGCGCAAUAUAUCAACCGAUCUUAAUCUGCUGGAUUUGGAGUCAGUACGGCUGGAUGAAGAACUACACAUUACUAGAAGAAAAAGUCUCUUUGAAAGACCAUGGAGGAAACCUAUCAAUACAUGUCCCAACCUCCAUAGUAGGACUUUUAGGAGCAAUUUUCCUCGGGAGAAGAAUAAUGAAAGUACAAGAUAUCGAUCCAUUUUCUCUAGGAAAAGAGUACGUCAGCGGUACUGUUUCUGGGUACUUCUUCGUUAUGAUCGGUUUAAUGGGAUUUCAUCUGCCCAUUGAUUCUCAUACUAGGAAGGACAUCAGCAGGAUCUCUGUAAAUUGCAUUAUGGCAAUGGGUGGAGGUAUUCUCACAGUCGCGUUCAUUCAAAUGGUAAAGUCCAAGGACAUAUACAAGUACUGGAAGGUCAUGAGAUGUCUUCAGGGGGGAUUAGCGGGUAUAGUGAUGGUUUCAAGUGGAAUAGACCUUUAUAAUCCAGCUGUUACUUUUGGUGUCUCCAUUUUUGGGGCUUUACUUUUCUUUAUAUCUUCUCUCAUUGUUCGUAAAUCACCUUUAGAAGACUGUUGUAACAUAAUUAGUGUUUAUCUAGUUUGUGGCACUUUCGGUACUCCAAUUCCAGCGAUAUUUACCAAAAAUUCUGUAGAGGUAAUUCUAAUUCAUGUGCUUUGGCAACUUAUUUGUCUGGGGACUGUAAUAGUAGUAACAUGUGUGGUGUUUGUCAUACUUUUUUGUUUCUUCACUUGCUGUGGUGUUCUUAAGAACGAUUUUGAAGAAGUCAACCACGAAAGGGCUAAUAUAUUGUAUGGAAGACUGAAUUGGAGAAGCUAUUACGACAAAUUGUUUGCGUCAAGUAAGAACAAAGAAAUAUCGCCGAAUAGUAACAGGAGUGAAAUGACUCAAACAUUCAAUAUUUUUUAAUCAUUAUUCUUAUUAAAACUAUUUAUAUUUUUCGUGUUUUGGUACAGAUUAUCAACAAUGGAGUCCUUUGCUUCGCACAAGUUUUCCUAGCCAUUAGAUGUGGAAAUGUAAUAUUAAUAUAGAAUAACACAUCUAAGAUAUUUAUGUUUCAUUAUGUCCAGUUAUCUUAUUCAUAUAAUGAAAUUUUAUCAAAAUCAUUAUAAAUUCGGAAAGACGAUCAACGAAGUAGUAGGUAACCAUUUUUCCAAAUGGAUUCAUAGUAUACUACACCUCACUAAGCAGAUAAAGCAUAGAUGAAGUUGUAAAAAUGCCACAUUAUUUGUUGGUUUCGAAAAUGCUAACUUCAAUCUUGCAUGGAUAGGUUUUUCAACUUUAACUUCAAGCAUGUUAAUAUGUAGCUAGUGUAAGACAACUACCUUUGUUAACACUCACCAUAAUUUUGAGCGCAAUAUAUCAACCGAUCUUAAUGUACUGGAUUUGGAGUCAAUACGGCUGGAUGAAGAAC